rnacentral:sRNA from 1 species
UAUAACGAAAUCUCAACUUUUCAGUGAUUUAUUCUGAUUCGGCAAAGUGAAUAUUAACCCCAUUAAAAGUAAGGUUAUUGUCGGGAAUCAAGGUGGGCAAAAAAAAGCGCCCGCAGGCGCUUUUUAUAAGAC